rnacentral:rRNA from 2 species
CUUAACACAUGCAAGUCGAACGAACCUUCGGGUUAGUGGCGGACGGGUGAGUAACGCGUGAGAAUCUGCCCUCAGGAGGGGGAUAACGGCUGGAAACGGCCGCUAAUACCCCAUAUGCCGAGAGGUGAAAUGAAUUUCGCCUGAGGAUGAGCUCGCGUCUGAUUAGCUAGUUGGUAGGGUAAAGGCCUACCAAGGCAUUGAUCAGUAGCUGGUCUGAGAGGAUGAUCAGCCACACUGGGACUGAGACACGGCCCAGACUCC